rnacentral:rRNA from 1 species
UAACCCUGCCCUUAAGUCUGGGGAUACCAUUUGGAAACAGAUGCUAAUACCGGAUAAAAGCUACUUUCGCAUGAAAGAAGUUUAAAAGGCGGCGUAAAGCUGUCGCUAAAGGGAUGGGACCUGCGAUGCAUUAGCUAGUUGGUAAGGUAACGGCUUACCAAGGCGAUGAUGCAUAGCCCGAGUUGAGAGACUGAUCGGCCACAUUGGGGACUGAGACACGGCCCAAAACUCCUACGGGGAGGCAGCAGUAGGGAAUCUUCCACAAUGGACGAAAGUCUGAUGGAGCAACGCCGCGUGAGUGAAGAAGGUUUUCGGAUCGUAAAAGCUCUGUUGUUGGUGAAGAAGGAUAGAGGUAGUAACUGGCCUUUAUUUGACGGUAAUCAACCAGAAAGUCACGGCUAACUACGUGCCAGCAGCCGCGGUAAU